UUGCUCUUGAAAUAGCCAUAGCACCUCUUUUUUAUUCAAUAGAGGAGAGGCAAAGACACUCCAGAGCAUUCUACUGUGUCGGUGCCAUGAAACAUGGCCCUGAUGACAGGAGAGCCUUUUCCUGCUCUAUGUGCACAAAUGCACUGAUGUCUGGGAUUAUUCUGGAAGCAGCUGAAUAACUUGUUAGGCCAUAACUGCCUUCAUUGAGCAUACAAUGCCAGCUGCUCUGCCAGCUAGGACUGGGAGGCAGCUCCUUUUGGGCUGAGUGAACUGCAUUAGGGUGAUCCAGCUGAUUUUGGCAGAAAUAUUGGCUACAGCUGCUUCAGGUCCAGCUGCAAAUGGCCUAUCCAGCAAGCAGGAGCAAUGCCCCUCCUUUAAAAGCCCCAGAGCCUACAACUAGGCAGGUGCCUGCGUAUGCCCUUCUGCUGGUCAGCCAUCCUCUCUGACCAAGUCUUAUGUAGAGAACAUGUAGUGGAGUGUUUAACUUCAUCAGGAAAGCAGCUCCAUGAGGCACAAACUGCAGUACUCAAAUAAGAAAGCGCCCUAUCACAGAUGUGUACUUUCUGGCAAAGGUGAGAUCUUCCCAUAUCCUGUUCAUCUCCCCUUCAUGCUCCAUCUGCUUCAUCAAAGUCUUCCUUGCGUUUGUUUUUGUUGCAGACCAGUCAAACACAAAAGAGAAGCUAUAAAGCAAAAUAACUCCUUUUCUAUUUCAUGCUAUUUAUUUUUCAUCUUAUGACAAAUACAACUUUAUGUUGGCUUUUCUAGAUGGUAACAUCAGGCUGGUUCAUUUAGACAAGGGAUGACUCAAGCAUGUAAAAAAAACCCCUGCAAUGUCAGAAGCUGUUUGCUCCCCACGCUGUCUCAUGAAAAGGCUGUCCCUGGAGCCUUUUCCUGUGUCACAGCAGCUGGAGAAGCCCUUCUCCCUGCUGAAGGGGAAGAGACUGACAGAACAAAGUGGUUCAUUGCCUGCUGUGUUGCUGAUCCCUCCUCAGCCAGCUGGUUUCGAACACAGCCUGGUGUCAAGUUUGUAUUUCAGAAAGCUAAUUAUGCUGCAAUUUGUGGAUGGCUAUAGUUGAGAAUUCACAGCAGAAGUUCCAAAAUAAGUGUUUACUGCAUUGCUGUGUGUUUGUUUUCACCUGUGUAAGAUGCUCUAGACUUGCCUAAACAAGGUGGGGAGAUGUUUUAAAUGAAUCGGGGUGGAAAUGAGGUAUUGGUUUUUGGAAAAAGCCUUCCAGAUAUUCAGGAACAAAUAAAUUUGAAACUUAGUGAAAAUAGUUUGAUGUGUUUCACCCCUGAUAAGGCAAAAGUGGCAAAACGCUUGUGUCCUUGGUGUAUAGAGCCUGUUCAUCUGCAGGAUCCGCUACAUUCCAAUUAAGGGCUCAGUGAGGGACCUGACCCACAGUUUGGAGGUGCUUAUUAAAUUCCUUUGGUUUCAGCCACUUGCUGUGAUAAUACAGGAUAAAAAUUUUACUUAGAGGCUAAUAAGAAACCAUUCUCAUUGGAGACUUUGAUGCGAUGGCUUCAGAGGAGAUGUAAAAGUUCUAAUUUAAUGCAUAAUGAAUAAUCUAGUUUCCUGUUUGAAACUUCAGGCUUUCCCUCAGCACUGUUUCAUGCACCAGCUGCUUGUGAUGCCUCUCUUGUGGCAAAUAAUAAAAAAAAAAGGCAUUGGUAGUUGAAGAAAAUUAAGAAAUGCCAAGGUCAGGAGACUGCUGACACGGAUAAUGAAAGAAAUUGGGAAGGUGAGAGGGCAGAUGGAGUAUCAAAUGUCUUACAGAAGGCUGAAGUGGAAAUUUCAUUGUUGAAAUGAGCUGGGAUAAGAUCAGGCCUCUGAAGAUGGUUGAUGGAGGUUGGCAUCUCCACUGCCGAUACAGGGAAGGAUAGAAAAGGCUGUAGGGCAUGGGCGGAAAUCUCUCCAGGCAGGGUUGCAAGGGCGAUGUGUCAGUAGGAUACUGUGAAUAAAGUAAUAUGUUGAAUUUGGCAAAACAGAAGGGAAGAAAUUGUAGGCUGAGGUAAAAAU